CCGGUCCUGCUUCGAUGUUUACAUUUUGAAAGCGAAUAUCAGACAACUGUGACAUCAAAGAAUUGCUCCCAUCAGAUUCAUCAUCAACAUUUGUUAUCUUUUAAAGACUAAAGAAAAACGUUGUAUACAACAAAUAUAUAAUUCUGUGGUAAACUACAUUGAAAUAUUUCUUGUGAAUGGAGUUUAAUGGCAGCAUUUCUCUACUGUGUAGUCUGCAGUAUGUACAAGAUGAAUUUGCCUUCAGUAAUUAAAUUUGGAUGAAGUUUCAAAUACGUUUGUGGCAUCUUCAGAUAUUGAUGAAAAUCAGAGUUGAUGGGAAAAUAGUUGUAAAACAGUUGAAAGAAAUAAUUGAUAAAAAGUGAAACAAGAAAAUAAACCGUAUAUUGUUCUGAGACAAGAAAACUAUUGAAGCAAUGGAUAAUGUUACAGACUUAAAGGAUUGAUUUAUUAUUUUGUUGAAGAGAUGCA